rnacentral:rRNA from 2 species
UCAGCGGCGGACGGGUGAGUAACACGUGGGCAACCUGCCCGCAAGACCGGGAUAACUCCGGGAAACCGGAGCUAAUACCGGAUAACACCGAAGACCGCAUGGUCUUUGGUUGAAAGGCGGCCUUUGGCUGUCACUUGCGGAUGGGCCCGCGGCGCAUUAGCUAGUUGGUGAGGUAACGGCUCACCAAGGCGACGAUGCGUAGCCGGCCUGAGAGGGUGACCGGCCACACUGGGACUGAGACACGGCCCAGACUCCUACGGGAGGCAGCAGUAGGGAAUCUUCCGCAAUGGGCGAAAGCCUGACGGAGCGACGCCGCGUGAGCGAAGAAGGCCUUCGGGUCGUAAAGCUCUGUUGUGAGGGACGAAGGAGCGCCGUUCGAAGAGGGCGGCGCGGUGACGGUACCUCACGAGGAAGCCCCGGCUAACUACGUGCCAGCAGCCGCGGUAAUACGUA